AGAGUUUGAUGGUGGCUCAGAUUGAACGCUGGCGGCAGGCCUAACACAUGCAAGUCGAACGGUAACAGGAAGAAGCUUGCUUCUUUGCUGACGAGUGGCGGACGGGUGAGUAAUGUCUGGGAAACUGCCUGAUGGAGGGGGAUAACUACUGGAAACGGUAGCUAAUACCGCAUAACGUCGCAAGACCAAAGAGGGGGACCUUCGGGCCUCUUGCCAUCGGAUGUGCCCAGAUGGGAUUAGCUAGUAGGUGGGGUAACGGCUCACCUAGGCGACGAUCCCUAGCUGGUCUGAGAGGAUGACCAGCCACACUGGAACUGAGACACGGUCCAGACUCCUACGGGAGGCAGCAGUGGGGAAUAUUGCACAAUGGGCGCAAGCCUGAUGCAGCCAUGCCGCGUGUAUGAAGAAGGCCUUCGGGUUGUAAAGUACUUUCAGCGGGGAGGAAGGGAGUAAAGUUAAUACCUUGCUCAUGACGU
rnacentral:rRNA from 1 species